CACCGCGGUUAUACGAGAGGCCCAAGUCAAUAGCUUCCGGCGUAAAGAGUGGUUAGGAUGCCCCUAAACUAGAGCCCUACGCCCUCAUGGCUGUUAUACGCACCCGAGAGGCGGAUGAACUUCCACGAAAGUGGCUUUAAUUAUACUGAACCCACGAAAGCUAUAAAA
rnacentral:rRNA from 1 species